rnacentral:rRNA from 1 species
AUUGAACGCUGGCGGCAGGCUUAACACAUGCAAGUCGAACGAUGAAGAUAUAGCUUGCUAUAUCGGAUUAGUGGCGGACGGGUGAGUAACACUUAGGAAUCUACCUUUUAGCGGGGGAUAGCUCGGGGAAACUCGAAUUAAUACCGCAUAAUUUCUACGGAAUAAAGAGGGCUUUUAGCUCUCACUAGAAGAUGAGCCUAAGUAAGAUUAGCUAGUUGGUGGGGUAAAAGCCUACCAAGGCGACGAUCUUUAGCUGGUCUGAGAGGAUGAUCAGCCACACUGGGACUGAGACACGGCCCAGACUCCUACGGGAGGCAGCAGUGGGGAAUAUUGGACAAUGGGGGCAACCCUGAUCCAGCCAUGCCGCGUGUGUGAAGAAGGCCUUUUGGUUGUAAAGCACUUUAAGCAGUGAAGAAGACCUAUUGGUUAAUACCCAAUAGCAAUGACAUUAACUGCAGAAUAAGCACCGGCUAACUCUGUGCCAGCAGCCGCGGUAAUACAGAGGGUGCAAGCGUUAAUCGGAAUUACUGGGCGUAAAGCGAGCGUAGGUGGUUAAAUAAGUCAGAUGUGAAAGCCCUGGGCUCAACCUAGGAACGGCAUCUGAAACUAUUUAACUAGAGUAGGUGAGAGGGAAGUAGAAUUUCAGGUGUAGCGGUGAAAUGCGUAGAGAUCUGAAGGAAUACCGAUGGCGAAGGCAGCUUCCUGGCAUCAUACUGACACUGAGGCUCGAAAGCGUGGGUAGCAAACAGG